rnacentral:rRNA from 1 species
CCUGAACUCAGACGGA